AUUUAAAGGCACUGUAACCAGAUGGGGUCGGGCCCCACCACAAACAUAACAGUUAGUUUUGUUGUGUGAAUUAGCAUUAUACCUCAUCCAUUCAAGCCAUUCAAGGGUUAAUGGUCAUGUGUGUGUGGAGUCUACCCAGUCAGGUGAUGUAAGCAUGUCUUGUAAAUAGAAGGUCCCCAAAUUGUUAUAUGAGCCACCCCCUUUCCAAUAC